GACGUAGGAGGCGAGCGUUAUCCGGAUUCACUGGGCGUAAAGCGCAUGUAGGCGGAUGUCUAAGUCGUGUGUUAAAGCCCCUGGCUCAACUGGGGGAGGUCAUGCGAGACUGGAUGACUUGAGGGCAACAGAGGCACGUGGAACUCCCGGUGUAGCGGUGGAAUGCGUAGAGAUCGGGAAGAACACCCGUGGCGAAGGCGGCGUGCUGGGUUGCAACUGACGCUGAGAUGCGAAAGCCAGGGGAGCAAACGGG
rnacentral:rRNA from 1 species